rnacentral:rRNA from 1 species
GACGAACGCUGGCGGCGUGCUUAACACAUGCAAGUCGAACGGAAAGGCCCUGCUUUUGUGGGGUGCUCGAGUGGCGAACGGGUGAGUAACACGUGAGUAACCUGCCCUUGACUUUGGGAUAACUUCAGGAAACUGGGGCUAAUACCGGAUAGGAGCUCCUGCUGCAUGGUGGGGGUUGGAAAGUUUCGGCGGUUGGGGAUGGACUCGCGGCUUAUCAGCUUGUUUGUGGGGUAGUGGCUUACCAAGGCUUUGACGGGUAGCCGGCCUGAGAGGGUGACCGGCCACAUAGGGACUGAGGUAAGGCAGCGACUCCUACGGGAGGCAGCAGUGGGGAAGAUUGCAGGAUGGGCGGAAGCCUGGUGCAGCAACGCCGCGGGUGGGAUGACGGCCUUCGGGUUGUAAAACGAAUUCGCCUGUGACGAAGCGUGGGUGACGGUAAUGGGUACAGAAGAACCGGCUAACUACGUG